CCUCUUCUAGUUUCUUAACCAAGUCUCCCUCUACUCUAUUUCGAUCUAUCGCUAAUUCCUUGCUAAACCUAAUUGAUUCCGAUUUUAUUGCCAUUUUCAGGGCGAACCACCUGCGGUUGUUAACGAUGGCUCUCGCCAACGCCCUCUUAAUUAACUCGCUAAUCCGGUUCCUGUAAACCUGUCGCGCUAAGAGCGACGUGUUCAGUUUCCAAAGACAGGCCGACAUACGAUAGAUAGAUAGAUAGAUAGAUAGAUA